rnacentral:rRNA from 1 species
AUUGAACGCUGGCGGCAUGCCUUACACAUGCAAGUCGAACGGUAACAGGUCUUCGGAUGCUGACGAGUGGCGAACGGGUGAGUAAUACAUCGGAACGUGCCCGAGAGUGGGGGAUAACGAAGCGAAAGCUUUGCUAAUACCGCAUACGAUCUCAGGAUGAAAGCAGGGGACCGCAAGGCCUUGCGCUCACGGAGCGGCCGAUGGCAGAUUAGGUAGUUGGUGGGAUAAAAGCUUACCAAGCCGACGAUCUGUAGCUGGUCUGAGAGGACGACCAGCCACACUGGGACUGAGCCACGGCCCAGACUCCUACGGGAGGCAGCAGUGGGGAAUUUUGGACAAUGGGCGCAAGCCUGAUCCAGCCAUGCCGCGUGCAGGAUGAAGGCCCUCGGGUUGUAAACUGCUUUUGUACGGAACGAAAAGACUCUGGUUAAUACCUGGGGUCCAUGACGGUACCGUAAGAAUAAGCACCGGCUAACUACGUGCCAGCAGCCGCCGUAAAAC